UUUUUUAAGGCAUAAAAGUGAACAUAUUUCAAGAAAGUUCUCAGUCCAGCUUGUUGUUAACACAUAAGCUGCUAUAAAAAAGGGAAAAUCUCUUCAGGCAUCUGAAAAUUUGCAAACAUAAUAUUAAAGCUGCGUGCAAUCGUAAAUGUAGGGAAGGUCAAAUUUGUUGGUUCAGGACCUUUCAGGGCAUUAUGCUACUGUUUCUCCAUGUAAGCAAAGGAAUAAGGGAAGCAUGAAAUAAAUCUUUCCAUUCUAUAUUUCUAUUCUUGACGCUCCAAGUGAAAUGGAGUACAUGGUACGCUCGACAUGGGCUCUGCUCGAAAAUUUAUGUGCUGUCUCCUUGAGUUCAGACAACUUGCACUAAAGAUAAC
rnacentral:misc_RNA from 1 species